AUAAAUGAAUAUGUAUGAAAUGUGUACUUUGUUUGAAGGGAUGGGCAGUUGAGAUGCUUGUGCUCUUUUUCAGGAAGGACAGAGGACUUCCUCCCAGCAGUAAAGACCCCCAAGGGCCUAGUCGGAGAAGCCGCAGCCUGUCUGCCAGACCCCUGGCAACAAAAUGCACUGCAAAAGCUCUCCCUCAAGCACCCCAUCACAGAGAUACAGAACACAGUCCUCAAUAUCUGUGGAAAAAAGCCAGCUCAGGAGCUGAGGCGGAGUGUGUUCAACUUUGACAAGAUUCAGCAGUCGCAAGACUGUCCCUGUGAGGAUCCUGUGACACAGAUACUGGGGGAAACAACAGACUACCUGCUGUUUUAUUGGUUUAAAACACCUUUCUGCGAAAACCCGCCUCCUCAGUUACAUCACAAAGGAAACACGCCUUCUAAGGGCAAAAGCUGCCUGUUUCCACGUCCUCACAUUCAAACUGAAAACUGCGCGCCAAGGUUUUGCAGCAGAACAGAUUUGGAAUGAAAAAGUGAGAUAAUGGAACGUUUCUGGAUCUCAUCACUUGAAGACUCUCUGCGCAAGGAGUCUGACGCACGUGUGCAGAGAACGAUACAUAUUGUAAAACGAGAUUCAAGAGAGGAUUUUAUGCAAAAUCACUUGACAUGUCUUAAGGAGAAUGGAACUGGCACAUUUGUAGCUAUCAAAAAAAGAGGGGAAAAUCACUUUCAGUGGCAAUGUGAAAGGUCCAAUAAACCAAAAGGCGGUACACAGAUGGAUUGUCCGACGUGAUGGAGGAUGCAGUCAGAAUCUGUCUGCAAAAAAUGAAGUGAUUAGGUCUAUGAUUGCCUUAAAACAAUGCAGUACAGCUGCCGAGUUUGAAAAGAUGUCAAAGGAAGUGAUUGUCAAAACAGACAGAGAAACUGGCAGUUCAGUAAUUUCACAGUAUCUACAGGACCAUUGGUUUCGAAAUGCAAACAUGUGGGCCAAUUUUGGACGGAGAGUUUACCACCAAGACAGUGAAAUGAACAACCUUGUUGAGAGAUUUUUUUUCAGCAUGAAGUAUCAGUUUCUUCAUGGCUAUGCAAACAGACGAGUUGAUGAACUACUUCUACUACUUAAUACCAAGGUGGUCACUUACUAGAGGUAUCUGGAAGGUCUUCAUGGUGCUCAGAGGAUUUCUGAUUCCAAAACACAGGAUACUGCAGAAUCUGCAUUACGUAUGAAGAACAAAGGCCUUCAAAAUAAUUUUGUUUACAAAUCAGGUGGCCAUUGCACAGUGCCUUCAGAAGCAGAUAAAGCAAAAUGUUAUGCUGUGGAUUUAAUUAGCAUGAAAUGUGAAUGCGCCGUUUCUGAAAGGGGUAAUUUGUGCAAGCAUAUUGAGUUUGCAAAAAUGAUGUGCAAAGAACAGGGAAUUGAUAUUGAUGGAAUUCGAAAAGAAUUAGCCAGUUCACUAACUGAACAGCAUUGCUAUGAGUGGGAUGGAAAACAUUUAAUUGUACAUUGUGCUGGUAGUUUUGGAGUAGUACAUGUGCAAAACCAACAGUGUACCUGUCUUGCCAAUAGUCUUGGAGAAAUAUGUGUCUGUCUAAGACUUUCUGAGUUAAUUGGUAUACAGAACCCUAACCAAGAGGUAACGGACUGCUUUGUGAAUACCACAGCAAAUUGUCAAUCGCACAAUAAACAGUUGUGUGUAAAGAAGAUGAUUUCAGACUUAAAGGAGUGGUGUGACAGCAGUGAUUAUAAGGAAUCUCCAGAGUUGAAUGCUGUAGUAAAACAUGCACACCAACUAGCAUUUGGACAGUAUAGCAUGGCCAGCAAUAAAAUAAAAAUUAUAAGGCUGCAUGCUUACAGAAAACGCAUUGAAAGAGCAAGAAGCCAUGCUAUAGACAUGCAUUCAUAUCAGCUCAAAGAACCCCUUAAUUGAGCUUUAUAUACCCAUAGACCUGAUAUGAGAUGUUGUACAGUACCUUUAUUUAUGUAUGUUUAUGGUACAUUUUUAAAUAUAUAUUUAAGAGGUUGUAUAGAAAAGAAAAUGCCUUACGUAAAAUGCUAUUUUAGGUUUUCUUUGCUUAGAAAUGUUCUUAAUGUUUUGAACAAGCCCUUUUUUAAAAUAAUGAACAUAUAUGCAAAGGAUGCCUUUUCAGUGUCAUCUAAAACUACACAUUCUGCAGUUUUUCUAUCUGGGAAUCGGCACAUUUUUGAAGUACAGAACUGUAAACAUCAAGCAUUUGAAAGCCCAGUCCAUGAGUAGCCAUGUCAAAGUCUGUAGCACUUUCUUUAAUUUGGUCUGUUGAAUUCUUGAUGCCAUCGAGAAAUAAAAAAAAAAAAUAUAUAUAUAUAUAUAUAUAUAUAUAUAUAUAUAUUUUUCUUUUUUAAAAUAAUGAAUAAUACAAUUAGUACUGCAAUACUCAAUAAACCAGGCAUGUGGUUUUAUGUAAGGUGCUUUUAGCCUCAGACACUGAUUUUACCCAAUAUUUAAUGAGGAUUGUUUUUAGCUCCUAACAUUUUAUCUUGUAAUGGUAUGUAAAUAAAAACAAAAAAAUAUUGAGAUGACCAGCGGAAAAAAUCACCCUGAGAAAAUCUGCAAGUCUAUUUAGAAGUUUUAAUGUGUACCUUUACACUUUAAAAAUAAUAAUUUGUGGCUCACAAGUGGCAUAGCGGGUAAAGGCAGAGUGCAAAUCCUGCCUUCUGUAUUUAAUAUGAUAUAAUUGUGCUUCCACAAAAUGAGUGCCAUGCAUAAAAAACUGGAGAGGUAAAAUAUAUAGCUUAAUUAAGUCUUCUGUUGACUUUAUUUUUACAAUUUCGCACAUUUGAUUGCAAUCAUAUCUUUCUCUGGUUGACCCCUCUUUCUAACUUUUUUUGUACCUAGGAAAUAUUUUGGUCUGAUUUUACUUUUUCUAUAUUUCAUAUUCAUAGUGUAUUUUUUGUUACAGAUUUGAUGUAAUUUAACGUUUUGGUUACAGUACACCUGCGUUUUUCAUCACUAGUGUAAAACAGUAAAGAAACAUACUUAAAUUCAUGAAGCUUUCCAAUGGCAACAUCUUUGGUUGUGAUCGAGCCCUCCAAAACUGCGAUCCUGUCAAAAGGAAUCAUCCUUACUGCCAACUUGCCGAUGCCCACACCUAAAUCGCAGGCUUCUCCUGAAGACAGAAAAGUGUUACUAUUAUUGUAACAAUCAACUUUUAACGUACAAUAAGACUGACAUUACAUUUUCUAUAUUCACAAAUAAUGGAUUUAUUUAAUGAUAAAUAUAAUGUUUACUGUUUGCAUGUUACAUUUGACUUAAGCUGGUGCCUGAAUGCAAGACAACUUAGAAUGGAAACAUAUAAUUAGAUUGUUAGGUUUUAAAAACAAGGCUACCCACACUACACUAUUAAGAUAAGGUAUUUUAAAGCUGUUGAAUGCAGUGGUCUGUAUAUUGUACCAUGUGUUAUACUACUAAUUGAUAUGUUUUAGUGUGUUGACAUUGCACUGGACAUUUACUAAUGUACCCUCAGUCAGUUUGGAACACAGGGAAGUUACAGUGGUUGUUGGGCCAGGACUAAUGCCAACUGUCUCUUCAAUCUUCUUUUUAAGCUCACUCUUUUUAUUUUUCUCUACCCUUAGAUAUGCAACCAGGGAAUUGGCUGACACAUUCUCAGGUGGACCUAUCCUUUUCCUGAUCUCCUCUGCUGUCACACUGUAUCUUUGGGGGAAAGAAAGAGGGAGAAGGCUCUCGACUUCAGCAAAUAUUUGUGGUGUAGCCAUGCUGUCGGGUAUUACAGCUGGGCGAGGCACAGCCAGUGAUACAGGUGGAUGCUGAAGUGACACAGCGACUGUGCUGGAGGAAGGAGGGCAUGCCUGUGGCAGUGGGGAAGCAGUGUCGCUUUCUCAACAAGCAGCAGGGGUUGCUGAUGUAGCAUGAGCUUUUUCUGCAUGAUUUUUCACUGAAGGAAAACAAUACACCUUACUUGUAAAUAACACUACGUUUCUUGUUUUAAGAGCAACUAUUGUAGGUUGUAGAAAAUGUUGGUAUAUGGUCUAAUGUGUUGUUAUAUGGUCUAAUGUGUUGGUAUAUGGCCUAAUGUGUUAGUCCAACUGCAUCAGUAAAGUAUCUGAUUUUUUCUCUUUCAUUGUUAACAUCCUGACACAGAUCCUAAUGUGUUGGUAUGACUCUCAGUAAAGUAUCUGAUAUUUUCACUUUCAUUGUUA